GUCUGUUUUGUCAAACAAUAAACCAAUCAUCUUGUAAGAAAAAGAUUAGGCAAGUGUUCUUUUCAUUCAUUUCAUCUUAUCUCUCCUGUGAAUGGAAUCUCCUGCCCCUGGAUAUUAAAGUAGAUAAUUUCUCCCGACAUCACGAUCAAAUACAGAUGCAAUGAAGAAAUCCAUCCCUGGGUAGAACAUUUGAUGCACCGAGGCCAUCCAUGCGCGACCUCAGGUAAAAGGUAAGUGCACACGAAACGUGAUUUUAUCAACACCUGUCACGGAUCACAAUUCCAAUGAUGUUUUUGACCAUUUUUAGAGAGAUGGGUAUCAUUUCAAUGUUUGGAACGCCCACAUCUACCUUAAGUUC